rnacentral:lncRNA from 1 species
AGGGAGUGGUUCUCAUAGGGGCAGCGAGUCUCAAAACGGGGAGCUCACUGCUGUGCUCUCUUCAUCUCCCCACAACCCACCUCAGUUUUUUCUUCUUUUUUUUUUUUAAAGCCUGAUGGAGGCCUUUUCCUGUAGAUCAGCUUCCCAAAAGCAGUCAGAAUGAGUGACAUCAUGAGAAAAUUAUGUGGAGCAGAUCUCAACCAGAAGUUGAGGAAUCCCAGAGGAAGAAUGCAGUGGUAACUCCUGAGCCCAGGGAGUUGGCAAGAGUGUGGGCUUCCAAGGAGCCAGAACCUCCGAACCGGGCCUUCUUGAAGCAAGGCUAUACCGUCCUACUGUUCCUCUGGCUGAAAGAUCUGAGUGCCGUGUGACAAAUACUUUGGUGAGUGCCAUUUGUCCCUGUUGAACCAAGACUCUGAGGCUGAUAUGCAAUGUCACUUACAACAUUAAUCAUGCAAGACCCGAUGGAUGAACUGCAGUUGUUCUAGCAUGAAUGGAUGCCUGAUAGAUCUCAUGCUCGUAUCGUAGACUCUCCAUCCUUUUGUUUUCAACCUAAGCAUGGCUACCGUCAUCUUGUAGCUUUUCAUAGCUAAUGGUUUUUUUUUUAAUGACAUUAUUCAUUUGUGUUGCUCUUAGUCAUGCCUAACAGAAUUUCAAAUAUAAUCCACAGAGCCAGAAAACCAAACAAAACUAUUGGGAAAUACACAGAACCAUUAUCACCCUAAUAAACAGGCGACUGAAUGGG